rnacentral:rRNA from 1 species
CAGUCGCCGCGGGAAUACGUAGGGUGCGAGCGUUAAUCGGAAUUACUGGGCGUAAAGCGUGCGCAGGCGGUUGUGUAAGACAGGUGUGAAAUCCCCGGGCUUAACCUGGGAACUGCGCUUGUGACUGCACAGCUAGAGUAUGGCAGAGGGGGGUGGAAUUCCACGUGUAGCAGUGAAAUGCAUAGAGAUGUGGAGGAACACCGAUGGCGAAGGUAGCCCCCUGGGCCAAUACUGACGCUCAUGCACGAAAGCGUGGGGAGCAAACAGGAUUAGAUACCCAGUAGUCCCUGUCUCUUAUACA